rnacentral:rRNA from 1 species
GACGAACGCUGGCGGCGUGCUUAACACAUGCAAGUCGAACGGAAAGGCCCUGCUUUUGUGGGGUGCUCGAGUGGCGAACGGGUGAGUAACACGUGAGUAACCUGCCCUUGACUUUGGGAUAACUUCAGGAAACUGGGGCUAAUACCGGAUAGGAGCUCCUGCUGCAUGGUGGGGGUUGGAAAGUUUCGGCGGUUGGGGAUGGACUCGCGGCUUAUCAGCUUGUUGGUGGGGUAGUGGCUUACCAAGGCUUUGACGGGUAGCCGGCCUGAGAGGGUGACCGGCCACAUUGGGACUGAGAUACGGCCCAGACUCCUACGGGAGGCAGCAGUGGGGAAUAUUGCACAAUGGGCGGAAGCCUGAUGCAGCAACGCCGCGUGCGGGAUGACGGCCUUCGGGUUGUAAACCGCUUUCGCCUGUGACGAAGCGUGAGUGACGGUAAUGGGUAAAGAAGCACCGGCUAACUACGUGCCAGCAGCCGCGGUGAUACGUAGGGUGCGAGCGUUGUCCGGAUUUAUUGGGCGUAAAGGGCUCGUAGGUGGUUGAUCGCGUCGGAAGUGUAAUCUUGGGGCUUAACCCUGAGCGUGCUUUCGAUACGGGUUGACUUGAGGAAGGUAGGGGAGAAUGGAAUUCCUGGUGGAGCGGUGGAAUGCGCAGAUAUCAGGAGGAACACCAGUGGCGAAGGCGGUUCUCUGGGCCUUUCCUGACGCUGAGGAGCGAAAGCGUGGGGAGCGAACAGGCUUAGAUACCCUGGUAGUCCACGCUGUAAACGGUGGGUACUAGGUGUGGGGUCCAUUCCACGGGUUCCGUGCCGUAGCUAACGCUUUAAGUACCCCGCCUGGGGAGUACGGCCGCAAGGCUAAAACUCAAAGGAAUUGACGGGGCCCCGCACAAGCGGCGGAGCAUGCGGAUUAAUUCGAUGCAACGCGUAAAACCUUACCUGGGUUUGACAUGGAUCGGGAGUGCUCAGAGAUGGGUGUGCCUCUUUUGGGGUCGGUUCACAGGUGGUGCAUGCCUGUCGUCAGCUCGUGUCGUGAGAUGUUGGGUUAAGUCCCGCAACGAGCGCAACCCUUGUUCACUGUUGCCAGCACGUUAUGGUGGGGACUCAGUGGAGACCGCCGGGGUCAACUCGGAGGAAGGUGGGGAUGACGUCAAGUCCUCAUGCCCCUUAUGUCCAGGGCUUCACGCAUGCUACAAUGGCUGGUACAGAGAGUGGCGAGCCUGUGAGGGUGAGCGAAUCUCGGAAAGCCGGUCUCAGUUCGGAUUGGGGUCUGCAACUCGACCUCAUGAAGUCGGAGUCGCUAGUAAUCGCAGAUCAGCAACGCUGCGGUGAAUACGUUCCCGGG